rnacentral:rRNA from 1 species
CGACGAAUCUUCCGCAAUGGGCGCAAGCCUGACGGAGCAAUGCCGCGUGUGGGAUGAAGCAUCUUCGAUGUGUAAACCACUGUCAGAAUCUAGGAACACUGACCAGAUUCAGAGGAAGGACCGGCUAACCUCGUGCCAGCAGCCGCGGUAAGACGAGGGGUCCGAGCGUUAAUCAGAAUCACUGGGCUUAAAGCGUGCGCAGGCGGUCUGGCAAGCAUCUUGUGAAAUCCCUCGGCUCAACCGGGGAACUGCAGGGUGAACUGCCAGACUUGAGGCAGGUAGGGGCUGAUGGAACCAUGAGUGGAGCGGUGAAAUGCGUAGAUAUUCAUGGGAACGCCGAUGGGGAAGCCGAUCAGCUGGGCCUGUCCUGACGCUCAGGCACGAAAGCGUGGGGAGCAAACAGGAUUAGAUACCCCCGUAGUCC